rnacentral:rRNA from 1 species
GACGAACGCUGGCGGCGUGCUUAACACAUGCAAGUCGAACGGAAAGGCCUUUUCGGCGGUACUCGAGUGGCAAACGGGUGAGUAACACGUGGGUGAUCUGCCCUGCACUCUGGGAUAAGCCUGGGAAACUGGGUCUAAUACCGGAUAGGACCGCACUUUAGUGUGUGUGGUGGAAAGUUUUUUCGGUGUAGGAUGAGCCCGCGGCCUAUCAGCUUGUUGGUGGGGUAAUGGCCUACCAAGGCGGCGACGGGUAGCCGGACUGAGAGGUUGGUCGGCCACAUUGGGACUGAGAUACGGCCCAGACUCCUACGGGAGGCAGCAGUGGGGAAUAUUGCACAAUGGGCGCAAGCCUGAUGCAGCGACGCCGCGUGGGGGAUGACGGCCUUCGGGUUGUAAACUCCUUUCGCCAGGGACGAAGCGUUUUGUGACGGUACCUGGAGAAGAAGCACCGGCUAACUACGUG